UGACUUCCGGUGUUCGGCCGAAAGCAAGUUGUACAUGUUGCUGUCUUCCGCAAUCAUCUCUGGUGCCAUCCUACACAAAGCAGCGUAGAAGCAAAGCCAUCCUUCCUGAAACACGAGGCGCUGAAGACAAGAAGAAAGAUCGCCUCCUAACUGGAGAAUGAGCUGCCAAUCAAACAGGCCAGGAGGCGUCAUUACUGCCAGUCUACAGAUAAAGAUGUUGACCUUGUUUUGAGGAUACACCGUCGGC